CGUGAGCGGGCAGCCCGACACCCCCAUGCCGCUGCACCCAGAACUUGCAGAUGAACAUUUCCACUUCCUGUGGGAGAAGAAGAGGCAGAGAGGGAAAACUCUGAAAGAAACCCUGGAGACGCUGGACGAGAGAGAAGUGCUUAAAACCGUCCUGAUGUCCAUUUACCAGUCUCUCCAGUAUCCGUCCGCUGUGGACCAGGAAGCAGCCGGACUGCAGAACAGCACAUUGUUCCUCAACAAG